rnacentral:lncRNA from 1 species
GUGAGACAACUAAACCCUAAAGAGAACCGACGGUAGCACAAGGACAAUACGCACCACAAAUCAAUUAAUGGUCAUGGAUCAAUUCUAAACCGUGUCACCAAAAAGUUUGCUUCUUUUAUAAUUUCAACCUUUUGGACAAUAAUAAAUGUUAUGUUUCAGUUGUAAAGAAUCAACAAUUUUUUGUAUUUUUAGUUUAGUUGUAAGUUUCCAUUAUCCGGUC